UAGACCGAUCAAAGUCAUCGACUUCGGUUUGACGCACGACAUCGCGGACGCCAGACCGGGCUCGUAUAUUCAGAGUCGCCCCUACCGUUCUCCGGAGAUCUUGGUGGGCGCGCCGUACAACGAGGCAAUCGACGUUUGGUCCAUGGGCUGCGUGACGGCUUUUCUGUACACGGGUACGCUGAUUUUCCCCGGCGAGAAUGACUACGAAAUGGUAAAUAGCCAUCUGGGCUCCAAUUGUGCGAUCACUACUUUGUUAUACCAAAUUGGUAAUCACGACGGUUAGGGUCAUGUAAAACGGGGUUACGGUUGGAAGGUUACCGUACGGUUAGUUUCGAGGGUUUAGUGAAACUAUUGUGUGGUAUCCAGUGGAGUUUCCUCGAAUAACCCCAUGUUUUCCUUUAAAGUCAAAGGUUUCCAUGGCAACUCUGUUGUGUUCAGAUCACGUACAUCACAGAGACUCAAGGAGCUUUUCCAGACAACCUUCUGGUCUCUG